rnacentral:lncRNA from 1 species
AAAAAACAUAACGCUAAAAUAACGGUUACAUAACGGUAAUUGAAAAUUUUGGCGUUAUGUUCACCGUUAUGUUAGCGUUAUGUUAAGUUUAAAGCUUUAUGCCCAAAACUAUUUGUAUGAUAUUUGUAAAGCGUUAUGUUUAACCGUUAUGUUUACAAAAUGGCGCGAAUCUAAAGGAUUUUUGCAAUUAGAUUUUUUGUUUUUAAUGUCUCUACUAUUUUGAUUUACUUAUUUAUUUACGUACGGUAUUUACCACUUACUAAGUAACUUAACUAUAAAACAGCAUUUUGGUUGUUAAUUAAUAUAUAUUUAUUGUAUAUUUGGUUCUGAAGCCCAUAACUGAUUGAUUUAACGUAUCCUUGUUUUGGGCAGCUUCUGGGAUGUUUCCAAGAUAUUUGUGGAUUUGGGCAAUAAGUUUUAUUAUUUAAAAAAUUCAUUUUAGUUCUGCAGUCUUUUCAUAGCAAUGCAAAGUACUUUUGACUUUAUUAAUGUUAAUUUUUACCAAAGUUAAUUUGUUUAAUUAUUUUCUUGGUUAUGAAAAAUGAUUUAAUAUAAAUAUAUUAAGAUAUUAAACUGCAUGAAUUUUUUUUGUUUAAUUAAACUUUUAUUAUCAUAAAAAUGUUCAAGGUUAGUUUGAGGAAUUAUUUGGAAAUCGGAAAAAUGGAAAAAACAUUAAAUUUCUUUAUGCUGCAUUUAUACUUCUUGUAUUGAAGAUGCAUACCUAAAAAUUUCAAAUUUUUAAUUCACUGUAUAUUGUGCCAAUUUUCGGUCCGUAAAUUGACCAAUAAGUUCCCUGAAAUAGACUAAGUCUUUAAUAUUUGAAAUUAUUUUGAAAGAAAAAAUUAUUUAUUGUUAAGUUGAAAUUCUGAAGAAAUAUAUUAUAUGAUAUUUUUAUAAUAAAUUUUUUCCAGUAAUAUAAUAUAAAUUAGUGUAGUAUUAUUAAACUAAUUAAAUUGUGCCAAAUAAUGUUGUUUAAUACUUGUGUAAUAAUGGUGUUUACCUCUUACCGUCUGACCUGUCUGUUUAUUAUUACUGUUUUUAACAUUAAUUUUGUAUUGCAAGUAUUAAAAAAUGUUAAAUAUACUAUUUGUAAAAUUAAAGUAGUAUAAACUAAUAAUAACUGCUUUACUUAUUUCUUCAAUAGUUAAUAGUUGAAAAUAAUAAAGGCUGUUGUUGUCAAAUUUCUUGGGGAAAGAAAAUUGUUAUUGCUUGUAAUAUUGCUGACAUUUUAACUAAUGUGUGAUUCACUACAUGAAUACUUAUGCCAAAGUUUAUAUGGUCCACAAGUUAUCUUUAAUAAAACAGAAUAUGAUGUAAGGAGUUGAAGAGGUAUCGAAAUGGAUGUUCAACCCUUGAUCAGUACAUUUGUUUACUAUUUGCUAGAUUUAACAUAUUCUUGUUUUGGGCGGCUUCUGGGAUGUUAGCAAGAUAUUUGAGACUUUUUGCAAUUGGCUUUAUUAUCUAAAAAAUGCAUUUUUCUUCUGCAAUCUUUUCAAAGCAAUGCAAAUUACUUUUGAAUUUAUAAAUUUUAAUAAGUUAUUUUAUUCAAUUAUUUUGUAAAUAAUUUAUUCAA